rnacentral:tRNA from 1 species
GGGCGCGUAGCUCAGUCGGUAGAGCAACGCACUUUUAAUGCGUGGGUCGAUGGUUCGAGUCCAUCCGCGCUCACCA